rnacentral:rRNA from 1 species
GAUGAACGCUGGCGGCGUGCCUAAUACAUGCAAGUCGAGCGAACGGGCGAGAAGCUUGCUUCUCUGAUGUUAGCGGCGGACGGGUGAGUAACACGUGGAUAACCUACCUAUAAGACUGGGAUAACUUCGGGAAACCGGAGCUAAUACCGGAUAAUUUUUUGAACCGCAUGGUUCAAAAGUGAAAGACGGUCUUGCUGUCACUUAUAGAUGGAUCCGCGCUGCAUUAGUUAGUUGGUAAGGUAACGGCUUACCAAGGCAACGAUGCAUAGCCGACCCGAGAGGGUGAACGGCCACACGGGAACUGAGACACGGUCCAGACUCCUACGGGAGGCAGCAGUAGGGAAUCUUCCGCAAUGGACGAGAGCCUGACGGAGCAACGCCGCGUGAGUGAUGAAGGUCUUCGGAUCGUAAAACUCUGUUAUUAGGGAAGAACAUAUGUGUAAGUACCUGUGCACAUCUUGACGGUACCUAAUCAGAAAGCCACGGCUAACUACGUG